rnacentral:rRNA from 1 species
CAGUAGCCACGGGAAUACAGAGGGUGCGAGCGUUAAUCGGAUUUACUGGGCGUAAAGCGUGCGUAGGCGGCUUUUUAAGUCGGAUGUGAAAUCCCUGAGCUUAACUUAGGAAUUGCAUUCGAUACUGGGAAGCUAGAGUAUGGGAGAGGAUGGUAGAAUUCCAGGUGUAGCGGUGAAAUGCGUAGAGAUCUGGAGGAAUACCGAUGGCGAAGGCAGCCAUCUGGCCUAAUACUGACGCUGAGGUACGAAAGCAUGGGGAGCAAACAGGAUUAGAUACCCGAGUAGUCCCUGUCUCUUAUAU